AAUUACAUGCAUAAAAUGAUUCCCCCAGGCAUCGAAUAAAACUGCUGCCACAUAAAGGGUUCAUGAAAGCGUAAAAUAAACACAUAGCUACGCAACAGCCUACCGCACAAUGUUCAAUCAUGCCUGAUGUAUAAUCCCAUGGCACAGUGAUUCACUCUAAGGCCAUAAAUCGAAAAAUGUCAUCGGCUUAUCCCCAUUAGAUCUACUUACUAAGUGAUUAACAAGUUAAGAAGCUUCCGAAAACUCUAAAUACCAGUGUCAUAAGGUCAAUUUAUUAUUCACUUUUGUGCAUCGGAAGUUAGCGCAUCUCGAGUCUAAUUAUCGCAACGUGUGAGUCAUCAAAACUUAACACUUUGUUUUUGAGUGUCACUAUUCCAAAUCAAGUGUUUACGUAUGGUGACAGUAUGGAGGUCCAAGACCAAGGUAAAGUUUUCAAAUGUUCUGUUUCGAGGACGACUAUUUUUGACAUUUGGCACUCUAAAGAGGGUAGUCCAAAUGAAAAAUGCAACAUGUCCUGAAUACUUUUACAGAAACAUCGUGCCUUUCGGAUGACAUAGAAAAUAUCAAACUAGAGACUUUAAGUAAUAAAAUUAUGAAUGUAUGUAAACGAAUUUCUCAUUAUUGGGCAAUAUCAAAUCGUAGUAGGUCUAAGUUUAUAGAGAAAUAUUCAGAUUGGCUGAAUGUAGUUGAAAAUAUUGAUG
rnacentral:lncRNA from 1 species